UGAGUUUUACUAGGAAGUCAUUUUGGACGAGGUUUCCAACUCUUCUCUUCUCUUCUCUUCUCUUUUUUCACUGCGGUCGGGCGGGCAGCCCACGCACCCGCCACGUGUCCAUCUCAUCUCUUUCCCCCUUCUUUCUGGGUCACCGGUCAGCCCACUGGCUGCCCAUAAAAAGCCCACUCUCUCCCCCUCAACCUUUUCAUUCACAUUCCUCCCAUCAUUGCCUCUCUCUCUCUCCUCACUGUGUGUUGUGUGUGCACUUUUAUUACCAUGGGAGAGAGGGAAAAGACUGCAGAGCAGAAAGCAAGCCUGGAGCUUCCUCAACUACCAGGCUUCGAUCAAGAUCAAGAAGAUGAAAGUCCGCGGCCGCGGCUCGCGAAUUUGUCCUGAUUAGGCGCUAUCCUACCUGAGCUUUUUUUUUAUUGGUCAAAUUUUUUGACUUGUUGCUUUUUAUUUUCCUUCCUUCCUAUGUCUUCUUGACCUUGUAAGACCUUUUCUUGAUCUUGUAAGACCCCGUCCGUUGCGAGGUCUUACUAAUUCCCGUUUCUUUUCGGAUGCCAUGUCAGACUCGUCUGAUGACGGACGUAUCCGCCCUUUUCCCUCUUCCCGGCCCGACUCAUCUUCUCCUUCCUUGUCUAUCCCUCCUGAGCUGUCCACACAUUACUAGAGUUAAUAAGUUACUCCUACAAAUUUAGAAUAGAAUUAACUCGAUUUUGCUUGUAAUUAAUGUAAUUCGAUACAUAUAUAUGUUUAUCGAAUAAAAAAUAUUGAUUGAACAGUGUA